CGGGGUUUCGCCAUGUUGGCCAGGCUGGUCUUGAACUCCUGACCUCGUCAUCCACCUGCCUCGGCCUCCCAAAGCGCUGGGAUUCCAGGUGUGAGCCACCGCGCCCGGCCACCAGUGCCUAUUUUCUCACUUCCCUUCGUACCACCCUAAAUGCACAGGAGAGAAGACCCACAAGAGAGAAACGCACAGGAGAGAGUCGCAUACAGCAGAUAACUAGAACGAUAGGUUUCAUUCUCUCCCAGACCCUGGCUGAGAAGAACAGCGAGGUCUAGGUAUGCAUCCAGGCUGCGGCCCAAAUGCCCUGCAGAAACCAUCACAGCAGCUGCCCGCGGGACGCCAACAAGCUAUGGGGCCGGCCCAGCCUGGAAUGAGCAGCCACUGCCAGAGGGGCCCUCAUAGCCCUGCCUGGGGUCGCUUGAAAGCUCUGACCCCUGAGUCAAGGCACUGAAGUGUGGCCACCCCAUCAGUUCUGCACAACAGUUGACAAAGAGCUUUCCCAAACCUGCUCUCGCAGGCCGGGAAGCAACCCUGGGCAGUGGGAGGGCAGAGACUGUCACCCAUUUUACAGCAACAGAGUCUCACCAUCUUGCCAGGCUGGUCUCAAACUCCUGAGUUCACGUGAUCCCCCCACCUCAGUCUCCCAACAUGCUGGGAUUACAGACAUGAGCUACCACACCCAGCUCCAGAAGUGCUCACUUCUAAACUCCUACAGGAACUUCAACCAGUGCGCUUCCUAUGGCAACGGGCACAGUACUCAUAGCCACAAUGAUGACAACAGUAAUGGCUGUGAAUAUGUGUUGAGUGCGUAUAACGUCCUGGGCGUUGGCAUGAGCACUUUAUAUGCACUAUCUCAUCAGACCUCACUAAGAGUUCAUGAGAUUUAAGCGGCUCCAGGGUGAGAUAAAUAAGGCUCUCGUGCCUGCCCGCCCCUCUCUGAACCUAGCCUGCACCUUGCUCAAAGCAGCACUCAGGAAACGUUUGUUGGCGUGGUUUUCGGCUUUAUCUGAACAGCACCUUCACCGAAUGAUUCUACUGAAACUCUCGACAUGGUGGCGGGGACAAGACCUCAGGGCUGGCCAUCACUGCCAUCAGUGUGGUUUUCUGGGUCAUCAUUUGAAACAGGAUGUUCUUGCAUUUAUGUAAUGAUGUACCCAUUAAAACUCCUUGUGAGUAGAAAAGUUUUAAUGACUUCUGGGAGGGAGGGUGUUUUUCUAAGUUCGGGUUUGAUGGGAGCCAGAGGCAGCUCAGGAAAGCGUCUGCGGACGCGCCAGCCAG